ACCUGCCCUUUACUCGGGGAUAGCCUUUCGAAAGAAAGAUUAAUACCCGAUAGCAUAAUGAUUCCGCAUGGUUUCAUUAUUAAAGGAUUCCGGUAAAGGAUGGGGAUGCGUUCCAUUAGGUUGUUGGUGAGGUAACGGCCCACCAAGCCUUCGAUGGAUAGGGGUUCUGAGAGGAAGGUCCCCCACAUUGGAACUGAGACACGGUCCAA
rnacentral:rRNA from 1 species